ensembl:snRNA U6 U6 spliceosomal RNA
GUGCUCACUUCGGCAGCCCAUAUGCUAAAACUGGAACAAUAUAGAGAAGAUUAGCAUGGCUCCUGUGCAAGGAUGACAUGCAAAUUCAUGAAGCAUUCCAUAUUUUU